GAUGAACUGUGGGUAGCGGAGAAAUUCCAAUCGAACCCGGAGAUAGCUGGUUCUCCCCGAAAUAGUUUUAGGACUAGCCUCAAGUUAGAUACCUGGAGGUAAAGCACUGAAUAGCCUAGCGGCCGAGAGGUUAGCGAAGCUUAUCAAACUCAGAAUGCCAGAGUAUUGAUGCUUGGGAGUCAGACAGUGUCAGAUAAAUGUCAUUGUCAAAAGGGAAACAGCCCAGAUCUACAGCUAAGGUCCCAAAGUCAGGUUAAGUGGAAAACGAUGUGAAGAUACGUAGACAACCAGGAUGUUGGCUCAGAAGCAGCCACACAUUCAAAGAGUGCGUAAUAGCUCACUGGUCGAGCGUCUUUGCGCGGAGAAUUUAACGGGGCUAAACCUGACACCGAAGCUUAGGCAAUACAGCAAUGUAUUGGUAGGGAGCGUUGUAUACGCGGUGAAACAGUAGCGCAAGCGGCUGUGGAGUGUAUAGAAGUGAGAAUGCCGGAAUGAGUAGCGACG
rnacentral:rRNA from 1 species